GGAGUAAAAGUCGUAACAAGGUCUCCGUAGGUGAACCUGCGGAGGGAUCAUUACAGAGUUCAUGCCCUACCGGGUAGAUCUCCCACCCUAUGUUAUUAUUACUUUGUUGCUUUGGCGGGCCGUUAGGCUCCGGCCCGACUACCGGCCCCGGCUGGUAAGCGCCCGCCAGAGGACCCAAAACCCUGAAUAUUAGUGUCGUCUGAGUACUAUAUAAUAGUUAGAACUUUCAACAACGGAUCUCUUGGUUCUG
rnacentral:misc_RNA from 1 species